rnacentral:rRNA from 1 species
GAAAAGAAACUAACAAGGAUUCCCCUAGUAACUGCGAGUGAAGCGGGAAGAGCUCAAAUUUUGAAUCUGGCGGUCUUUGCCCGUCCGAGUUGUAAUCUAGAGAAGCGUUUUCCGCGCUGGACCGUGUACAAGUCUCCUGGAAGGGAGCGUCAUAGAGGGUGAGAAUCCCGUCUCUGACACGGACUACCAGGGCUAUGUGAUGCGCUCUCGACGAGUCGAGUUGUUUGGGAAUGCAGCUCAAAAUGGGUGGUAAAUUCCAUCUAAAGCUAAAUACAGGCGAGAGACCGAUAGCGAACAAGUACCGUGAGGGAAAGAUGAAAAGAACUUUGGAAAGAGAGUUAAACAGUACGUGAAAUUGCUGAAAGGGAAACGCUUGAUGUCAGUCGCGUCGGCCAGGGAUCAACCUUGCUUCUCGCUCGGUGUACUUCCUGGUCGACGGGUCAGCAUCAGUUUCGAUCGCCGUACAAUGGCGGAGGGAAUGUGGCACUCUUCGGGGUGUGUUAUAGCCUUUCGUCGUAUGCUGUGGUCGGGACUGAGGAACUCGGCACGACUUUCGUUUGUGUCUAGGAUGCUGGCAUAAUGGCCUUAAGCGACCCGUCUUGAAACACGGACCAAGGAGUCUAACAUGCCUGCGAGUGUUUGGGUGCUAAACUCGAGCGCGCAAUGAAAGUGAAAGUCGAGACCUCUGUCGUGGA